rnacentral:rRNA from 1 species
GCAGUCGAGGGGCAGCACGGGAGUAGCAAUACUUCUGGUGGCGACCGGCGCACGGGUGAUUAACGCGUAUGCAACCUACCUAUCAAAGGGAAAUAACCCGGCAAAAGUCGAACUAAUACCGCAUAAAACAGGGGCACCGCAGGGUGAUUUUUGUUAAAAAAAUUCCCUGAUAAAUGGGCAUGCUUUCCUUUAGGUAUUUGGUGAGGUAACGGCUCACCAACCCAACAAUGGAUAGGGGAACUGAAAGGUUGGUCCCCCACACUGGUCCUGAAACACGGACCAAAUUCCUACGGGAGGCACCAUUGAGGAA